UGGGGAAUAUUGCACAAUGGGCGCAAGCCUGAUGCAGCCAUGCCGCGUGUAUGAAGAAGGCCUUCGGGUUGUAAAGUACUUUCAGCGGGGAGGAAGGGAGUAAAGUUAAUACCUUUGCUCAUUGACGUUACCCGCAGAAGAAGCACCGGCUAACUCCGUGCCAGCAGCCGCGGUAAUACGGAGGGUGCAAGCGUUAAUCGGAAUUACUGGGCGUAAAGCGCACGCAGGCGGUUUGUUAAGUCAGAUGUGAAAUCCCCGGGCUCAACCUGGGAACUGCAUCUGAUACUGGCAAGCUUGAGUCUCGUAGAGGGGGGUAGAAUUCCAGGUGUAGCGGUGAAAUGCGUAGAGAUCUGGAGGAAUACGGUGGCGAAGGCGGCCCCCUGGACGAAGACUGACGCUCAGGUGCGAAAGCGUGGGGAGCAAACAGG
rnacentral:rRNA from 1 species